AAAAAAAAAAAAAAGAAUUAGAAACCAAGCGAGACUGCAAUCGACUUGUGAUUUCAUUUAACAAAACAUAACAAUUAAAGGGAGGCAAAAGCUACUCAAAGAAGAUAAAUAAUUUUCUUUUAGAAAGGAAGGAAACUUGCAGCGGUAAUUUGAAAACUUAUUGGUGACUUAUCGCAGUCGCACAGAACACACCAGAGUCUUUCAGUAAUAAUUUUACAACUAAUCGAUGUUAACAACGAAAUGGAAAUGUCGACGCGGGUUCUGAUACAAAAAUAAAUGGAGAUGAAAAGAACUUGAAAAAUAUAUAUAUAUCAGUGUUAAAAUUGGUAGCAAGAUUACCGCCUAGGGUUGUGCUGACCGUGGACCAUGGAGCUUUGAAGUGUGGAAAGUUCAUGAUUUUAGUUACGAUGAUUCAGUUUGUUAUUUCCGCUGGCAAGAAAAAUAAGAAUCACCUCAAGAGUUUUUUCAAAAGGAAGGUCGUGAUAUUCCAACCUAAUUCCCUCUCUUUCUUCUUCGCCGCGUGAGGUCUGGAUAAGAUAUCACUUUAACUUCGAUAAUACAAGGCCUUUGGCAAAGAUUCUUUUUUCGCCAGAAAUGUUGAAGACAAGGAAUAAAACUGAUUUCUCCUGAUUGCCAGGUCAUAAGUUGAAUGUCACUGCAGUCUUAAACCACACUAUUCUUUUCCUAUUUUAAUUCUGGAACUGAAAACUAAAGAUUAUGUUUCCUUGAAUAUGAGUUCAAACUGUGUUCGUGCUCAGACUUAAUAACUUGCUACAGGCUAGGUAAUUAAAAAUUUAUAUUUGUUUUUGUUUGUAACCAAAUAAAUUGAAAUGUGACAGGAAAUACAUUGCAAUGACUUUUCUUUGCUUUUUAUUUUUGAACCAGAUCACGUCCUCUGACUGAGAAAACUGAUCAGAUAGCGAUUUAAUCAACGAACAUGUCAAGACACACGUAAUUAAAAAGCUUUUUUAAACCGUCUAUCGAGAAGUCAAAUAAUUUUUUUCCAGCUAUCGUCCUUGUAAGAAGCGAGUUCAUAUGCAUCGAAAACUUCUUUAUGGACAGUUUGCGUUGGAAGUUUAAAUGAGUUGUACCAGCCUGCGAAAGGAUGGAACGGAAGGGGAGAGAGAGGGUACAGCUAAACGGCGUCAGAGUUUCAAAAGAUAGACCGGACAAGAUUGAAUUUAAUUAAUUCAUGAGACGAGCUCCAACAGUUUCUACGUUUCACAAUAGUGAAUACAACAAACUGAAGUCGAAUCUCCCCUACAAGGCCACCUCUUCACAAUGCCAAAGAUUUUUCGUCACGACUGUGCUCUGAUCCAUACUGUUCAUGGCUAUUGAAACCUGCCCGCAAUGGCUACUUCUCUACAAUGGACAGUUAAUUCUACCCUAGGGUGUCUGUUGUAUUGAUGUAACUUAGAAGCAUGGACAUGUCUUGCCGUCUUUUACUUCGCGGCAAUUCCAACACGAGCCCAAAAACCUAGAGCGUUUUGCUAGCGAUAGUUUUGAUUUUGUGUGUUGGCUAGUUGAUAGUGACCGACGAAUCGUGCUCUGCUCUAAACAGCCAAUCAGGCGUUAGAACAAAACCAACCGCGAUGUGGUUCACGCUAUUUUCCCGCAUUCACCAGACUGCGGGAAAAGGUUACUGAACUAUUUGCCAGAACUGUGAUGGGUUCCGACGUAAGUACUUUUUUUCUUGGUUUUAGUUUUAAGUCCAUCAUUAUAACAGUGCUCUUUAACAUAAGUAAGUAAAAAAUUGUUAGUGGUACAUCAGGCAGUUCUUGAACAAAA
rnacentral:lncRNA from 1 species